CCUACGGGAGGCAGCAGUGGGGAAUCUUGCGCAAUGGGCGAAAGCCUGACGCAGCAACGCCGCGUGCGGGAUGAAGGCCUUCGGGUUGUAAACCGCUUUUAACAGGAACGAAAAUGACGGUACCUGUAGAAUAAGGUGCGGCCAACUACGUGCCAGCAGCCGCGGUGACACGUAGGCACCAAGCGUUGUCCGGAUUUAUUGGGCGUAAAGAGCUCGUAGGCGGUUCAGUAAGUCGGGUGUGAAAACUCUGGGCUUAACCCAGAGACGCCACUCGAUACUAUUGUGACUAGAGUUCGGUAGGGGGGCGGGGAAUUCCUAGUGUAGCGGUGAAAUGCGCAGAUAUUAGGAGGAACACCGGUGGCGAAGGCGCCGCUCUGGGCCGAUACUGACGCUGAGGAGCGAAAGCGUGGGUAGCAAACAGGAUUAGAUACCCUGGUAGUCCACGCCGUAAACGGUGGGCACUAGGUGUGGGCUCCAACCACGGAGUCCGCGCGUCGCUAACGCAUUAAGUGCCCCGCCGUCGGGAGGUACGGCCGCGAGGUAAACGUACAAUAGAGUAGACGGCGUGAGACGCGCCGACGGACGACGACGAGGGGAGGUUAGG
rnacentral:rRNA from 1 species